rnacentral:misc_RNA from 1 species
GAUGAAGAACGUAGCGAAAUGUGAUAAGUAAUGUGAAUUGCAGAAUUCAGUGAAUCAUCGAAUCUUUGAACGCACAUUGCGCCCCUUGGUAUUCCGAGGGGCAUGCCUGUUCGAGCGUCAUUUUGACCACUCCCGCUUGCGGGGUCUUGGGCCUUCGCCUCUGGGCGGGCCUUAAAAUCAGUGGCGGUGCCGUCCGGCUCUAAGCGUAGUAAAUCUCCUCGCUAUAGGGUUCCGGAGGGAUGCUGGCCAACAACCCCCAACUUUUAAGGUUGACCUCGGAUCAGGUAGGGAUACCCGCUGAACUUAAGCAUAUCAAUAAGCGGAGGA